rnacentral:rRNA from 1 species
GGGUUGUGAGGUUAAGCGACUAAGCGUACACGGUGGAUGCCCUGGCAGUCAGAGGCGAUGAAGGACGUGCUAAUCUGCGAUAAGCGUCGGUAAGGUGAUAUGAACCGUUAUAACCGGCGAUUUCCGAAUGGGGAAACCCAGUGUGAUUCGUCACACUAUCAUUAACUGAAUCCAUAGGUUAAUGAGGCGAACCGGGGGAACUGAAACAUCUAAGUACCCCGAGGAAAAGAAAUCAACCGAGAUUCCCCCAGUAGCGGCGAGCGAACGGGGAGCAGCCCAGAGCCUGAAUCAGUGUGUGUGUUAGUGGAAGCGUCUGGAAAGGCGUGCGAUACAGGGUGACAGCCCCGUACACAAAAAUGCACAUACUGUGAGCUCGAUGAGUAGGGCGGGACACGUGGUAUCCUGUCUGAAUAUGGGGGGACCAUCCUCCAAGGCUAAAUACUCCUGACUGACCGAUAGUGAACCAGUACCGUGAGGGAAAGGCGAAAAGAACCCCGGCGAGGGGAGUGAAAAAGAACCUGAAACCGUGUACGUACAAGCAGUGGGAGCACGCUUAGGCGUGUGACUGCGUACCUUUUGUAUAAUGGGUCAGCGACUUAUAUUCUGUAGCAAGGUUAACCGAAUAGGGGAGCCGAAGGGAAACCGAGUCUUAACUGGGCGUUAAGUUGCAGGGUAUAGACCCGAAACCCGGUGAUCUAGCCAUGGGCAGGUUGAAGGUUGGGUAACACUAACUGGAGGACCGAACCGACUAAUGUUGAAAAAUUAGCGGAUGACUUGUGGCUGGGGGUGAAAGGCCAAUCAAACCGGGAGAUAGCUGGUUCUCCCCGAAAGCUAUUUAGGUAGCGCCUCGUGAAUUCAUCUCCGGGGGUAGAGCACUGUUUCGGCAAGGGGGUCAUCCCGACUUACCAACCCGAUGCAAACUGCGAAUACCGGAGAAUGUUAUCACGGGAGACACACGGCGGGUGCUAACGUCCGUCGUGAAGAGGGAAACAACCCAGACCGCCAGCUAAGGUCCCAAAGUCAUGGUUAAGUGGGAAACGAUGUGGGAAGGCCCAGACAGCCAGGAUGUUGGCUUAGAAGCAGCCAUCAUUUAAAGAAAGCGUAAUAGCUCACUGGUCGAGUCGGCCUGCGCGGAAGAUGUAACGGGGCUAAACCAUGCACCGAAGCUGCGGCAGCGACGCUUAUGCGUUGUUGGGUAGGGGAGCGUUCUGUAAGCCUGUGAAGGUGUGCUGUGAGGUAUGCUGGAGGUAUCAGAAGUGCGAAUGCUGACAUAAGUAACGAUAAAGCGGGUGAAAAGCCCGCUCGCCGGAAGACCAAGGGUUCCUGUCCAACGUUAAUCGGGGCAGGGUGAGUCGACCCCUAAGGCGAGGCCGAAAGGCGUAGUCGAUGGGAAACAGGUUAAUAUUCCUGUACUUGGUGUUACUGCGAAGGGGGGACGGAGAAGGCUAUGUUGGCCGGGCGACGGUUGUCCCGGUUUAAGCGUGUAGGCUGGUUUUCCAGGCAAAUCCGGAAAAUCAAGGCCGAGGCGUGAUGACGAGGCACUACGGUGCUGAAGCAACAAAUGCCCUGCUUCCAGGAAAAGCCUCUAAGCAUCAGGUAACAUCAAAUCGUACCCCAAACCGACACAGGUGGUCAGGUAGAGAAUACCAAGGCGCUUGAGAGAACUCGGGUGAAGGAACUAGGCAAAAUGGUGCCGUAACUUCGGGAGAAGGCACGCUGAUACGUAGGUGAAGCGACUUGCUCGUGGAGCUGAAAUCAGUCGAAGAUACCAGCUGGCUGCAACUGUUUAUUAAAAACACAGCACUGUGCAAACACGAAAGUGGACGUAUACGGUGUGACGCCUGCCCGGUGCCGGAAGGUUAAUUGAUGGGGUUAGCGCAAGCGAAGCUCUUGAUCGAAGCCCCGGUAAACGGCGGCCGUAACUAUAACGGUCCUAAGGUAGCGAAAUUCCUUGUCGGGUAAGUUCCGACCUGCACGAAUGGCGUAAUGAUGGCCAGGCUGUCUCCACCCGAGACUCAGUGAAAUUGAACUCGCUGUGAAGAUGCAGUGUACCCGCGGCAAGACGGAAAGACCCCGUGAACCUUUACUAUAGCUUGACACUGAACAUUGAGCCUUGAUGUGUAGGAUAGGUGGGAGGCUUUGAAGUGUGGACGCCAGUCUGCAUGGAGCCGACCUUGAAAUACCACCCUUUAAUGUUUGAUGUUCUAACGUGGACCCGUGAUCCGGGUUGCGGACAGUGUCUGGUGGGUAGUUUGACUGGGGCGGUCUCCUCCUAAAGAGUAACGGAGGAGCACGAAGGUUGGCUAAUCCUGGUCGGACAUCAGGAGGUUAGUGCAAUGGCAUAAGCCAGCUUGACUGCGAGCGUGACGGCGCGAGCAGGUGCGAAAGCAGGUCAUAGUGAUCCGGUGGUUCUGAAUGGAAGGGCCAUCGCUCAACGGAUAAAAGGUACUCCGGGGAUAACAGGCUGAUACCGCCCAAGAGUUCAUAUCGACGGCGGUGUUUGGCACCUCGAUGUCGGCUCAUCACAUCCUGGGGCUGAAGUAGGUCCCAAGGGUAUGGCUGUUCGCCAUUUAAAGUGGUACGCGAGCUGGGUUUAGAACGUCGUGAGACAGUUCGGUCCCUAUCUGCCGUGGGCGCUGGAGAACUGAGGGGGGCUGCUCCUAGUACGAGAGGACCGGAGUGGACGCAUCACUGGUGUUCGGGUUGUCAUGCCAAUGGCACUGCCCGGUAGCUAAAUGCGGAAGAGAUAAGUGCUGAAAGCAUCUAAGCACGAAACUUGCCCCGAGAUGAGUUCUCCCUGACCCUUUAAGGGUCCUGAAGGAACGUUGAAGACGACGACGUUGAUAG